rnacentral:tRNA from 1 species
GGCACGGUACGCAAGCUGGCAAAGCGGCGAAGCUCAAACCUUCGUGAUUUUGUGGUUUCGAAUCCCACCCGUGUCA